rnacentral:rRNA from 1 species
GAUAAACGCUAGCGGCAGGCCUAACACAUGCAAGUCGAGGGGCAUCGGAUAGAGUACUUCGGUACUCUUGCCGGCGACCGGCGGACGGGUGCGUAACGCGUAUGCAACCUACCUUCAACAGGGGGAUAAUCCGAAGAAAUUUGGUCUAAUACCCCAUAAUAUUCCGACAGGCAUCUGUUGGAGUUGAAAGCUUCGGUGGUUGGAGAUGGGCAUGCGUUGUAUUAGCUAGAUGGUGAGGUAACGGCUCACCAUGGCGAUGAUACAUAGGGGGACUGAGAGGUUUUCCCCCACACUGGUACUGAGACACGGACCAGACUCCUACGGGAGGCAGCAGUGAGGAAUAUUGGUCAAUGGACGGAAGUCUGAACCAGCCAUGCCGCGUGCAGGAUGGCGGCUCUAUGAGUUGUAAACUGCUUUUGUACUAGGGUAAACUCACCUACGUGUAGGUGACUGAAAGUAUAGUACGAAUAAGGAUCGGCUAACUCGUGCCAG